rnacentral:rRNA from 1 species
GACGAACGCUGGCGGCGUGCUUAACACAUGCAAGUCGAACGGUGAAGGGGUCUGCUUUUGUGGGCCCUGGAUGAGUGGCGAACGGGUGAGUAACACGUGAGUAACCUGCCCCCUUCUUCUGGAUAACCGCAUGAAAGUGUGGCUAAUACGGGAUAUUCUGGGUCUGUCGCAUGAUGGGUCUGGGAAAGAUUGCGCCUUUGGGUGUUUUUGGUGGGGGAUGGGCUCGCGGCCUAUCAGCUUGUUGGUGGGGUGAUGGACUACCAAGGCGGUGACGGGUAGCCGGCCUGAGAGGGUGGACGGUCACACUGGGACUGAGACACGGCCCAGACUCCUACGGGAGGCAGCAGUGGGGAAUAUUGCACAAUGGGCGCAAGCCUGAUGCAGCGACGCCGCGUGAGGGAUGGAGGCCUUCGGGGUGUAAACCUCUUUCGCCAGUGAAGCAGGCCUGCUCCUUGUGGGUGGGUUGACGGUAGCUGGAUAAGAAGCGCCGGCUAACUACGUG